ACCGUCGGCAAGGCCUACCCGCUGGCGUUGGCGAAACUGAAUUCGCACUGGAAGGCCGCCGACAUCACGCUCGAUGCGCUCAGCAUCAUGCACACCGCCAACGAGCGCGGCGGAGUCGCUCCGCCGGAGGCUUUUGCGAUUCAUCGCACGCUGCUGGCUGAAGCCGGCGAGGGCGUCGAUACCAACGNNNNNNNNNGGAGAAAAUCAGCGCCGCCGAUUACAUCCUGGCCCUGCGGGACCGCGAGCGCGGCAUCGCGCA
rnacentral:misc_RNA from 1 species